rnacentral:rRNA from 1 species
AACGAACGCUGGCGGCAGGCUUAACACAUGCAAGUCGAACGCCCCGCAAGGGGAGUGGCAGACGGGUGAGUAACGCGUGGGAAUCUACCCAGUUCUACGGAACAACAGAGGGAAACUUCUGCUAAUACCGUAUACGCCCUAAGGGGGAAAGAUUUAUCGGAAUUGGAUGAGCCCGCGUAAGAUUAGCUAGUUGGUGAGGUAAUGGCUCACCAAGGCGACGAUCUUUAGCUGGUCUGAGAGGAUGAUCAGCCACACUGGGACUGAGACACGGCCCAGAUUCCUACGGGAGGCAGCAGUGGGGAAUAUUGGACAAUGGGCGCAAGCCUGAUCCAGCCAUGCCGCGUGAGUGAUGAAGGCCUUAGGGUUGUAAAGCUCUUUCAGUAGGGAAGAUAAUGACGGUACCUACAGAAGAAGCCCCGGCUAACUUCGUGCCAGCCGCCGCCGUAAAAC